rnacentral:siRNA from 1 species
UCUGCUUCAUCUGACCCUGGGUU